rnacentral:rRNA from 1 species
AUUGAACGCUGGCGGAAUGCUUUACACAUGCAAGUCGAACGGCAGCACGGACUUCGGUCUGGUGGCGAGUGGCGAACGGGUGAGUAAUGUAUCGGAACGUGCCCAGUCGUGGGGGAUAACGUAGUGAAAAUUACGCUAAUACCGCAUACGAUCUAUGGAUGAAAGCGGGGGAUCGCAAGACCUCGCGCGAUUGGAGCGGCCGAUAUCAGAUUAGGUAGUUGGUGGGGUAAAGGCCCACCAAGCCAACGACCUGUAGCUGGUCUGAGAGGACGCCCCGCACAACUUGAACUGAGGCACGGUCCAGACUCCUACGGGAGGCAGCAGUGGGAAAUUUUGGACAAUGGGCGAAAGCCUGAUCCAUCCAUUCCGCGUGCAGGAUGAAGGCCAUCGGGUUGUAAACUGCUUUUGUACAGAACGAAAAGGUUUCUACUAAUACUAGGAGCUCAUGACGGUACUGUAAGUAUAAGCACCGGCUAACUACGUGCCAGCCGCCGCCGUAA